rnacentral:rRNA from 1 species
AUUGAACGCUGGCGGCAAGCCUAACACAUGCAAGUCGAACGAGUGGCGGACGGGUGAGUAAUGUCUGGGAAACUGCCUGAUGGAGGGGGAUAACAACUGGAAACGGUAGCUAAUACCGCAUACCAUCGGAUGUGCCCAGAUGGGAUUAGCUAGUAGGUGGGGUAAAGGCUCACCUAGGCGACGAUCCCUAGCUGGUCUGCGAGGAUGACAAGCCACACUGGAACUGAGCCACGGUCCAGCAUCCUACGGGAGGCAGCAGGGGGGAAGAUGGCACUAUGAGAGAAAGCCUCAUGCAGCCAUGCAGCGUGUAUGAAGGAGGCAAUCAGGUUAUAAAGUACUUUCAGCGGGGAGGCGUUACCCGCAGGAGAAGCUCCGGCUAACUCCGUGCAAGCAGCCGCGGAAAUG